AGCGAUAGGCUUAACACAUGCAAGCAGGGCAGCACGGGCAGCAAUGUUGGUGGCGACCGGCGCACGGGUGCGUAACACGUAUGCAACCUUCCUGUAAGUGUGGGAUAGCCUCCUGAAAGGGAGAUUAAUACCGCAUAACAUGUAGAAUCUGCAUGGAUUUUACAUCAAACAUUUAUGGCUUACAGAUGGGCAUGCGUUCCAUUAGGCAGUUGGUGAGGUAACGGCUCACCAAACCUACGAUGGAUAGGGGUUCUGAGAGGAAGGUCCCCCACACUGGAACUGAGACACGGUCCAGACUCCUACGGGAGGCAGCAGUGAGGAAUAUUGGUCAAUGGGCGAGAGCCUGGACCAGCCAAAAAUCGCGUGAAGGAAGACGGCCCUAUGGGUUGUAAACUUCUUUUACAGGGGAAUAAAGUGCUCCACGUCGUGGUACCGUUUUGUAUGUACCUUUGUGAAUAAGCAUUGGCUAACUCCGUGCCAGCCGCCGC
rnacentral:rRNA from 1 species